rnacentral:rRNA from 1 species
UGGGGAAUAUUGGACAAUGGGGGGAACCCUGAUCCAGCCAUGCCGCGUGUGUGAAGAAGGCCUUAUGGUUGUAAAGCACUUUAAGCGAGGAGGAGGGUACUGGUAUUAAUACUACCAGGUACUGGACGUUACUCGCAGAAUAAGCACCGGCUAACUCUGUGCCAGCAGCCGCGGUAAUACAGAGGGUGCGAGCGUUAAUCGGAUUUACUGGGCGUAAAGCGUGCGUAGGCGGCUAAUUGAGUCGGAUGUGAAAUCCCCGAGCUUAACUUGGGAAUUGCAUUCGAUACUGGUUAGCUAGAGUGUGGGAGAGGAUGGUAGAAUUCCAGGUGUAGCGGUGAAAUGCGUAGAGAUCUGGAGGAAUACCGAUGGCGAAGGCAGCCAUCUGGGCUAACACUGACGCUGAGGUACGAAAGCAUGGGGAGCAAACAGG